CCGUCUCUGCUUUGUGAAACAAUGAACAAAGACAAAGUCAACCUAUUUAGCAUUUUUGGCGUUUUAGAAAAUCACAACUACAUAAACUAUUAAUUUUUGUAAUUAAUUUUCCUGUUAGAGGUUUGUCCUUUUUAAAUAAACCACUUGAGGAGACAGUUAAUUAGCUAUGUCGUCAUAGUAGCAGUAGCUAGAUGAUUAGCUUGUUUACCCUGGAUGCUAACAAGUGGCCAUCUGCUUCCUCGUCACCUGCAAACAUCAGGUUUCUGUGCCGAGGGUGUGGCCACCAUGGAGGUGUGUGCACGGGUCAGCACUCCCCCGCCCCCCCCUUGGAUGGAAGCUCCUCUGGGGUUCUCGACUCAUGGCUUUAAGAGGCACUUCCUGACCAGCUCAUAAAUCAGCGAAGACCAAAUAGAGUCAUCCACACUCAAAGGAGGCCAAAGCGCCACUAAUUGGUGAUGAGCAGCAGGUGGAAACGGCCGAAAGCGAGCAGACGAGGACAUUUGACACAGAAUCUGCACCUAUUCACCUGGAUUUCUUUGGAUUUCGUGGUUCCCACAAAAACAGCCUUUUAAUAUACAGUCGUAUGUGUUGGAUUCCGAAUCCGAUCCGGAAGUAGAGACUGGACAGUCUGAAGUUUCUGAAGAAACGAGGUUACUUCAAGACGUCUCUCAAUGGAAGUGACUGUUGAGUCACAUGCCCACGCAGGAAGUGGCAGUUCUGUCUUGGCCGCCAACCUUCCGAUCGGUGUCCAAGCUCUGCCCCGAGCUGUCCUGUUUAUCGGCAAAUCCAAACCGGAGCGCAGAGAGCGAUGCAAUUCCUGCCUGAUGGUGGGACGGAGGAGGCCUGGCGAUUCCCGAGUACCUGGUGAGAACAUGCAAACUCCACCCACAAGUGCCCAAACGGAGAUAUGAAGCCAGAUCUUCCAGAUCUCCAGAUGCUAACAACAUGCUAACCGGUAGGCC